rnacentral:rRNA from 1 species
AGGUUGGGGUUUUCAUGCUUUUGGACCUCAGAUCAGGCAAGAUCACCCGCUGAGUUUAAGCAUAUCACUAAGCGGAGGAAAAGAAACUAACAAGGAUUUCCUUAGUAACGGCGAGCGAACCGGAAGUAGCCCAGCUUGA